AGUGAACGCUGGCGGUAGGCCUAACACAUGCAAGUCGAACGGCAGCACAGUAAGAGCUUGCUCUUACGGGUGGCGAGUGGCGGACGGGUGAGGAAUACAUCGGAAUCUACUUUUUCGUGGGGGAUCACGUAGGGAAACUUACGCUAAUACCGCAUACGACCUACGGGUGAAAGCAGGGGAUCUUCGGGCUUUGUGCGAUUGAAUGAGGCGAAGUCGCAUUAGCGAGUUGGCGGGGUAAAGGCCCACCAAGGCGACGACCCGUAGCUGGUCUGAGAGGCUGGUCAGACACACUGGGGGUGAGACACGGCGGAGACUCUUACAGGAGGGGGCAGUGGGGAAUAUAGGAAAACGGGGGGGAGGAAGAUCCAGCCGGGCUGCGAAAGUGUUUUUGGCGUUAAGGAAGAAAAGCUGUUUUAUCCGGGACGAUAAUGACGGUACCGAAGGAAUAAGCCCCGGCUAACUUCGUG
rnacentral:rRNA from 1 species